CAAGGAAGCAGUUGCAGGACUCGCCGCUGAAGAAAGAUCAGCCGACACCAAAGAUCCCCGAUAUAAAUAAAUUAUCUGAUGAGCAACAAGAAUCAAAUAAAAGUACCCAAUUGCAGGACUCACAAGAAGAUCAUCCGAAAGAAGAUCAGCCGAAAGAAGAUAAACAGAAAGAAGAUCAGCUGAAUGAAGAUAAACCGAAAGAAGAUCAGCUGAAAGAAGAUCAGCAGAAAGAAGAUCAUCCGGCUCCACAGAUCCACAACAAAAAUAAAUUACAGGG